rnacentral:rRNA from 1 species
GAUGAACGCUGGCGGCGUGCCUAACACAUGCAAGUCGAGCGAUCUUCUUCGGAAGAGAGCGGCGGACGGGUGAGUAACGCGUGGGUAACCUACCUCAUACACAUGGAUAACAUACCGAAAGGUAUGCUAAUACAAGAUGAUAUAAGAAAUUCGCAUGUUUUUCUAUCAAAGCUUUUGCGGUAUGAGAUGGACCCGNGUCUGAUUAGCUAGUUGGUAAGGUAAUGGCUUACCAAGGCUUCGAUCAGUAGCCGACCUGAGAGGUGAUCGGCCACAUUGGAACUGAGACACGGUCCAAAACUCCGUACGGGAGCAGCAGUGGGAAUAGUUGCACAAUGGGCGAAAGCCUGAUGCAGCAACGCCGCGUGAGCGAUGAAGGCC